GGAGGGCCGUGUCGCCAUCACCCGAGUGGCCAACCUUCUGCUGUGUAUGUAUGCCAAGGAGACUGUGGGCUUCGGAAUGCUCAAAGCCAAGGCCCAGGCCUUGGUGCAGUACCUGGAAGAACCCCUCACCCAAGUAGCAGCAUCAUAAUGAGCACUGAUGGCAGCUGGGGUCAGAAAAGAGAGGUCAUUCGGCAGGACAGGGGCCCAUGGGAAAACCUUCUCGACUGUUUUUUCCAAGAAUAAAUGUCAACUCGUG